AAGUCGUAACAAGGUUUCCGUAGGUGAACCUGCGGAUCAUUAACACGUAUCCAACGUUAAACAACCCUGUGAACUUUCAGCGCUCUUGUAACCAGGCGGAACAGCAAUCCCGGUAAAUCAAUGGUGGAACAGUUUUGAUUCGGGACCCAUGGCAUGGUUUCCCUAAGCAUUACAGAAGGAUCCACUGAGUACGGAUAACGCAUCACGGUUGCCAGAGGUCGAUCACCGGCCGGCAGACAUGUCACAGGGCUAUAUGCCCCUUCAUUCACACCUUGCCUAAUCAUGCCCCGCGGAAACGCCGGGCACAAAAACUGAACAACUGUUAACAAUGGAUAUCUUGGUUCUC
rnacentral:misc_RNA from 1 species